GCGGGCUUUUGUUUUAUUAUUUUUCCUUUUGCGCUAAUUUUUUAAUCUUCUUCUUCGUUGCUUUUAAUUCCUCCGUUUUUUUAUUUAUUUUUAUUUUGUUCAACAAAAUCCCAAUUUUUCACAGAGAACGUUAUCAUCAACUUUGCCUUCCCUCUUCCCUUCCUUCACUAACUCGCUUGCCUUUGAAACUUGGGUUGGAUCCUUCUCACUGUGCCAUGGGUGAUUAAAGCUUGAUUGGAUUUGUGUUUAUGGUUGUUUUGGAUCAAAUUUUCACAAAGGGAUCUUAAAACAAUAGAAAAACUUGAAAAAAACCAUAUAUUGGAAAAACUAAUCAAUCCUUCAUUGGAUGACUUGAAGAAGACACCAGAUCCCACUAGCUUACAUUUAGAUGACCCAUUGGUAGUGAAGUGGGUCAAAACCAAUAUCCAAGGGGAACAACCAUAAGGCAUAUAUAUACUCUUUCUAUGGAUUCACAAUAUUCAAAUAACCUCCCAUGCUCUCAACAACUUUCCAAUGAUAAUGAAGGCAUAAACAUGAGCAGCUCACUAAAUACUCAACAUGUCAAUAACUCUUCUCAACUCCUUAUACAUAAUUCUAUGCCACAAGCUACCACAGCUCAAUUUUCAAACCAAUUUUCUCACUUCUCAUUUCAUCCCAGCUAUCUUUUUAAUUCAAUGAAUGCUUCAUAUUCUUCUCAUGUUAGCCAACAAUUUGGAUCUGGAUUCACCUACCAGGGUUUAUUGAAUGCUCCUACAAUCCCAUUUGACACUCGGAAUGCUAAUGCAACCAAAGAAUCCAAACAUAAGAGCAAGGCCACCCAAAAGUCUAACUCUCAAAGUUCUGUUUCUAAUAAAAAUUGGACUAAAGCUGAAGAUGUUGCAUUGACAAAGGCAUGGCUUUACAUCUCUGUUGAUUCUGAUAUUGGUAGUAGCCCAAAAAAUACAGCAAUGUGGGAUCGUAUUUUACUUACUUGGAAGGACAAUAUGGGGGUGGAAUAUAGCAGUGUUCGAAACACCAAUAGCUUACAAUGUCGUUGGGUAAAAAUACAAGGUGCAGUGAACAAAUUUCAUGGACUAUAUGAGAGAUUGGAAAGAAAUCCACAAAGUGGAACAACCCCAGAAGAUAUGGAUAAAGUAAAAUGGACUUGAAGCUGGAUGGAAUGGAGCUAUAAAUGGUAAAUGAUCUAUAUUGAGGAUGGAAAAGGCUAACGGAAGGAAAUGUUAUGAAGGGAUCGUGUAUAAUCUAUAAGGAUAAUACACGUAUAUUUAAAAUGUUUUGCAUUCCUAUUUUGAUGUUCUCCAUCUUUCUUAUGGAAUUUUAGAAGUUGCAGUUGUUAGAAAUCUUUGACAAAGUUUUCGUAGAACUUGUAGGUUAUUUGUUGUUUCAUAUCGUUCCCAUUCUAUCUCAUGGUGGCUUAACAUCCAUGGUUUAAGGUUUCUUUGUCAAUGUUCAAAAAACUUACUUUUCAAUGUUCA